AUGAACGCUAGCGACAGGCUUAACACAUGCAAGUCGAGGGGCAUCAUGAGGUAGCAAUACCUUGAUGGCGACCGGCGCACGGGUGAGUAACGCGUAUGCAACCUGCCCGAUACCGGGGUAUAGCCCAUGGAAACGUGGAUUAACACCCCAUAGUACUUUUAUCCUGCCUGGGAUGUGAGUUAAAUGUUCAAGGUAUCGGAUGGGCAUGCGUCCUAUUAGUUAGUUGGCGGGGUAACAGCCCACCAAGACGAUGAUAGGUAGGGGUUCUGAGAGGAAGGUCCCCCACAUUGGAACUGAGACACGGUCCAAACUCCUACGGGAGGCAGCAGUGAGGAAUAUUGGUCAAUGGACGUAAGUCUGAACCAGCCAAGUCGCGUGAGGGAAGACUGCCCUAUGGGUUGUAAACCUCUUUUAUAAGGGAAGAAUAAGUUCUACGUGUAGAAUGAUGCCUGUACCUUAUGAAUAAGCAUCGGCUAACUCCGUGCCAGCAGCCGCGGUAAUACGGAGGAUGCGAGCGUUAUCCGGAUUUAUUGGGUUUAAAGGGUGCGUAGGCGGUUUAUUAAGUUAGUGGUUAAAUAUUUGAGCUAAACUCAAUUGUGCCAUUAAUACUGGUAAACUGGAGUACAGACGAGGUAGGCGGAAUAAGUUAAGUAGCGGUGAAAUGCAUAGAUAUAACUUAGAACUCCGAUAGCGAAGGCAGCUUACCAGACUGUAACUGACGCUGAUGCACGAGAGCGUGGGUAGCGAACAGGAUUAGAUACCCUGGUAGUCCACGCCGUAAACGAUGCUCACUGGUUCUGUGCGAUAUAUUGUACGGGAUUAAGCGAAAGUAUUAAGUGAGCCACCUGGGGAGUACGUCGGCAACGAUGAAACUCAAAGGAAUUGACGGGGACCCGCACAAGCGGUGGAGCAUGUGGUUUAAUUCGAAGCAACGCGAAGAACCUUACCAAGUCUUGACAUCCUUCUGACAGAGUAUGUAAUGUACUUUCCCUUCGGGGCAGAAGUGACAGGUGGUGCAUGGUUGUCGUCAGCUCGUGCCGUGAGGUGUCGGGUUAAGUCCCAUAACGAGCGCAACCCUUACCGUUAGUUGCUAGCAUGUAAUGAUGAGCACUCUAACGGGACUGCCACCGUAAGGUGAGAGGAAGGCGGGGAUGACGUCAAAUCAGCACGGCCCUUACACCCAGGGCUACACACGUGUUACAAUGGCCGGUACAGAGGGCCGCUACCAGGUGACUGGAUGCCAAUCUCAAAAGCCGGUCGUAGUUCGGAUUGGAGUCUGUAACCCGACUCCAUGAAGUUGGAUUCGCUAGUAAUCGCGCAUCAGCCAUGGCGCGGUGAAUACGUUCCCGGGCCUUGUACACACCGCCCGUCAAGCCAUGGAAGCCGGGGGUGCCUGAAGUCCGUAACCGCGAGGAUCGGCCUAGGGCAAAACUGGUAACUGGGGCU
rnacentral:rRNA from 1 species